GGAAUCUUUUUAAAAGUAAAUAUGUAAAAAUCAAGGGAUGUAUUUCACCAGCUCUUUCCUAAGAAAUCCUCUUCUGCGCGAUGGGGCUAUUUUCUAGAGGAAGAUUUGCCUCUGGAAGGGAAGGGCGCUGGACGCAGCGCGAUCUUGGCGGGUUGUAUAUAUGGGUGGGUACGUGUGCGUGGGCACGUAUAUAAGCCAUUACUGAGACACGACUUCGUCACCACUCAUUAUAUUCAAUUCUUUCUAAACACAGGAAGAAAUGACUAGUGAUGUUGUGACAUCCCUUGUACUCUGCCAGCCCUGCAGUUCCGCUCUGCCAGGCGCGGCGUGCGCUUUGAACCCUGCGUCCUGCCCCGGGUUUCUAAUGCUGUAUCAACACGGUGCAUUGCAGGGCGUAUUCACCACCGCAAGUUACUGAAAACCUGCGUGAACCUGAACUGAGUUUGGGAAAAGGAUUGAUGUUUCGGCUCAGUCUGAACUGUUAUCAGCAUGUUCAUAUUUGCAGGCUCAACAAGCAUCAGCAAAACAAACAGUUCAAGUGACUUGAGCAAGAUCACCUUGCAGGUAAGGGACAGAGACAGAAAUAGAUCCCGUGUCUGCUAUCCCAUGUCUCCACCUGACCAUUUUCAACUCUAAUUAAGCAAUUACAAAGGCUGUUUGCCUGUCAAGGUGAUAAUCAGCUACACUGCUGAUUGCAGUGAGUUUUCAUCACCUGAUAGGACCGAGGCUCACAGAACAGACACUUUCAGCUGCUGUAAAUCAGCACAGCAUCGCUCUCCCUUCCAGCGAACCACGCUAAUUUACACUGCUGAUUUAUGUUGGCCUCACUGAGGUCCCUGACCAGAUGUGCGGUGGUGGAUUAAAAUCAGACGAACGAAGGGCUGUGAGGUGCCACUGGCCUGCCGCCCCGUCCUGCAAAUGGGGCAUUGCCACCCAGAGGCAGGGACGUCUCAUUUAGGGCAGUUCAGGAGCUUUUGCACAAGGGGAUGAGACGGUCUCGGUGGUGGUAGCAGUCCCCGUCGGAGGAGCAGGGCAGAUGGCUGCGUGCGGUGGCAGCUCCGACCGCCCAAUUUUAAUCCGCUGCCACAUGCCUGUCAGAGCCUGAGUCACGUUCUGCUGUCUUUAAUCUAGCAAAACUCUCAUGGGCUGAAUACAAAUCACCCGAUGCUUAGGGACCCCCCCGCAGCCCCGUCCGCGGCUCAGGCAGGGCUGAUGGAAGCGCUGUGCUUCUCCUUUGGCAGAGGAAGAGACAGAAUCAAACCAUAUUCGCUGCAAGUAGAAGCCACAAAUACAUCAGGGAAGGAGAAGUAAAGCAUUCCCAGGAUGAGAAGUACGUGGCAUGGUUUAGAGUUGACAGUGGGAACAAACUAAUCUUGAUGGAUCGGGCCUGAUUUUGGGGGAAACCCCACUGCAUUUUGUGUACCAUCCCUUCUCCCCUCUUCCUCUGCAAAGUGCCUGAUCCACUUAUCUUUGAACAGGUCUGGGUAUUGGUUCAGGCCCUCGAAAACAGCAGUUUAAGGGAGCAAAUUGUCAGCACAUGGAUGCUAGAUACUGGAAACAGAAUCUCAGUUUUUACUAUUUGAAUUAGACUCUGGAGUCUUCCUUUGAGCAACUAACCUUUCACACUCAGGGUACGGAGACUUGGAGAGUUAAUCAGGAGUCUUUGAGGAGGUUUUAGGAGAGAGCAUCUACUCAAACAGGUGGUGCAUUCUGAUAUUGCAAAAUCCAUCUAUUUUCUCACAUCAGGCUGAAAAUUCACAGCAGCCUCCCCCCAGUCACGGAAUUAAAUACUCUGAACGAUCGGUUUCAGGAACAGGCAGGCUGAAAAGCAACACUUAGCUCAGGGCAGCCACAGCUGUUAAAUGGAAUAUGCACAUGACACAAUAAAGCUAAUCCUGGAAUAAAAGCUCUAGCA
ensembl:lncRNA